rnacentral:rRNA from 1 species
CGUGAGCAACCUGCCCUGGACUCUGGGAUAAGCGCUGGAAACGGUGUCUAAUACUGGAUAUGAAUCGCGACCGCAUGGUCAGUGGUUGGAAAGAUUUUUCGGUCUGGGAUGGGCUCGCGGCCUAUCAGCUUGUUGGUGAGGUAAUGGCUCACCAAGGCGUCGACGGGUAGCCGGCCUGAGAGGGUGACCGGCCACACUGGGACUGAGACACGGCCCAGACUCCUACGGGAGGCAGCAGUGGGGAAUAUUGCACAAUGGGCGGAAGCCUGAUGCAGCAACGCCGCGUGAGGGAUGACGGCCUUCGGGUUGUAAACCUCUUUUAGCAAGGAAGAAGCGAAAGUGACGGUACUUGCAGAAAAAGCGCCGGCUAACUACGUGCCAGCAGCCGCGGUAAUACGUAGGGCGCAAGCGUUAUCCGGAAUUAUUGGGCGUAAAGAGCUCGUAGGCGGUUUGUCGCGUCUGCUGUGAAAACCCGAGGCUCAACC